ACUCCUACGGGAGGCAGCAGUGGGGAAUAUUGCACAAUGGGCGGAAGCCUGAUGCAGCGACGCCGCGUGAGGGAUGACGGCCUUCGGGUUGUAAACCUCUUUCAGCAGGGACGAAGCGUAAGUGACGGUACCUGCAGAAGAAGCACCGGCUAACUAUGUGCCAGCAGCCGCGGUAAUACGUAGGGUGCGAGCGUUGUCCGGAAUUACUGGGCGUAAAGAGCUCGUAGGCGGUUUGUCACGUCGUCUGUGAAAUCCUAGGGCUUAACCCUGGACGUGCAGGCGAUACGGGCUGACUUGAGUACUACAGGGGAGACUGGAAUUUCUGGUGUAGCGGUGGAAUGCACAGAUAUCAGGAAGAACACCGAUGGCGAAGGCAGGUCUCUGGGUAGUAACUGACGCUGAGGAGCGAAAGCAUGGGUAGCGAACAGGAUUAGAUACCCUGGUAGACAUCA
rnacentral:rRNA from 1 species